AAGUGAUAUUUGACCCAUUGAGCAAGUUACCCAGACCUCGUAUGUCAGGCGUCCAUCAUUUGCAAACGCAGAAGAAAAUGGCUUGCAACAUACAGGUAUACAACAGUGCAGACACCGAAUGAGGAUUUCCAAGGCCUUGUGCUGGGACAUCAUAGACACAGCUGUCACACGGUCUCAUUGGGAAAGAAACGAGGACGACAACCUGGAGCCUAUUGGAAAAACUGGCACAGUGAGACACCUUCUGAAAGAGCUGGGGGAUGACAGUGGCCAAAGCAACCCAAGACCAGCCUCGUAUUGCACCUGUACACUGCCUAUUGGAAGAAUUAGCAAUACAAAGAUUGACGUCAAAACCCUGAAGAUGGUAAUAAGAGAAAAAUAUGACUUCUAUUCAAAAUUAAUUAUAAUACUUUCACUUGUUUGAUUUUCUCUUUCUAUUCAAGUUCGUAGAAAUAUUUAAAAUGCAAAAGAUAUUUGGCGGAAAGCACACGGGUGGCUUGAAGUUCCGUUCUGAGACCCUCAAUUAGGCCAAAUUUCAAAAUUCUCCAAUAUGCAUGUUUGAUACGUCAUUGGAAAUCUUAAAAUCUUUUUUGAGCAGGAGGGCCUUUUUUGCUGAACAAAAGUUGAGCGAUUUGUAGCGCAUAUUUAGUCAAUGACAUGUAUACUUUUGAUUACUUAUUUUUAGACAUUUUGUGAGAAGCUAAGCCAUAGAUUUCAUUAUGUAUUGACAACUUUUUCAACGUAAAUCUGGCGCUAGAUCGCUGCAUGUGACCGACUGCUAAUAAAUGAAACGGAGUGUUGGACAGCCCCCUACGGGAAGGCAGGAUGCAGUGAAUGGAGAAUGUGUCAUGUCAAUACAUUAUCAAGUUUAUGGCUAAGCUUACCUUGCAGUGCAAUCACCUCUGGUCCAAUAUGUUUUGCCUCAGAGAGGCUUCUCUCAGUCAAAAGUUAGUGGAGAUGUUUAGUGCUAUCAAUGGCACAUUACAUCCAAUCUUCUCUGCAUGGGAUUGGUGUGAAUGGAAGGCAAUGAAUUCAAUACGAUGAAAUUCCCCCAAAAUCUAGCGUUAUUUCAGGCCAUAACGGUUUUUAUCAAUCAUAUACUGUAUAUUACUGAUGAAAUAUUGAAUACAAUAAUAUAACUUUCUUGCAUGAGUUAUAAUUGUUUUAAUUGAUUUUUUUUAAACCCUGUACUCAUUGAAAUUAUUGGCUGCUAUUGACAGCACUAGAAGUCCAAUCUGUUUUAACGGGGAGAAGCAAAUGAACAAAUGUUCCAUUAGCCGUCUCGCACCCUUAAUGGCACUGAAAAUGAACAUUCACAGCCAGUCUUCCUGGUUUAAAUAAAUUGGAGUGUUAUGCAAUGAGGGGUAAAUACAAAAAAAAAAAUACUCUAGAGUAGGCCUGAACGAUAUUGAAAAAAACUAUCAUUGCGAUUUUUGGGGAGUUUGCGAUAUUAUAUUGCGAUAUUAAAACGAGAACAUUUUCACCAAAUAAAUUGCAUAGCUCCGUUCGGGAUAGCUGCACUGUUGAUGAAGAAAAACAGUUUGGUCGCGCUGCCUAGCAGGAGGGAGCGAGAGACACUAUGGUGCUGUACGAGCAUGAAGCAGAAAACCAUGAGCUUAUAUUGUUUUUAAACAAAAACCCGAUCCUUUUCACCUGAUUCCGAUGCUCUGAAAAAUGGCGCAAUCGGCCCUAAUUUUUAAAACUCAGUUUAAUCCAGGAUCUGCACACUUGCUGCGUUAAUGAAGUAAAACAAAAGUUUAAAUGUUGAAAAAAAGAAAAACAAUUGCACGUCCUGCAAUGUGACUAUUGCGCAUGCGCACAUUGCGAUGGCGAUGUUCAAACGAUAAAUUGUGCAGGCUUACCUUAGAGUGUUACUUUGGGCUGGAACCACAGUAUAUUUUUGUUUCUAUUUUAAUUUUAUUAUCAUUGUAUUUAUUUAUACAUUUAUUUAUAAUCAUUAAAAAAUACAUUAUUGAGCUAUUUUAAAAAUUGCUAAUAUCGUUUUUUUUUCUUCCUUUCUUUUUUCAAUAAAUGACUAAAUUAAAAACUUUUGAAUAGCUGUCCACUCGAGUGACCAC